ensembl:lncRNA
AAACAAGAAUUUUAUUUUCCUCCAGCAAAUGAAGGAAAAUUCACAGUGGUUGGGAAAAAAAGCCACAGAAGCUGUGGCUUUUGUGGAUGCAACCUUAGCACUGUUUUCUCCACGUGGCCUUGUCCUUGUUAGCAGGAGCUCGUGGAAGCUGAUUGCCGCAAGGCGCCAGGGAGGAAGAGGGGCUGCACAAGGAACUGCACUAGGCCAGGAGGCACAGAUUUCUGCAAAUCAGGUUGCGGGUGAGUCAGAGACUUCCACUUAAUCUUAGCCCGCCCAGCUCCCAGCUUGGAGAGUCAGGUACAAUCGCUGAUCCGCUUGGGACACGAGGUUGGAGAAAGAGAAGCAGAAGAGAAUUCUACAUUGGAUUAUGAGAUUUUGUCAACAGAGACCUUUCCACUUUCAGAAUGCCUGGUGCAGUGUUUCAUAUAUAAGAGCUGCGUGAUAAGCGUUUUUUGAAUGUGGGACAGCCUAGCAACUCCAAGCUCUUCCCAAGAAUGCUUCUUAAAGGGGUCUUGCUGUAUUUCUUUAGGACGUUUAAAAUAGUAGUUCCAUGGCAUCAUUGGCAGCAGAGCUGUACUGGAGCAGUUUCCUCGGAGAGGCCGUGGUGAUCUCGGAUCAAAGUCUCUCAGUUCCUUUUCUGUUCUGCACAGUGUUUUACUGCAUAGCUUUUCAAUUCAGCAUUUUAUUGUCAGUCAAAGAUGCCCUUGUUCUGCUGAUGGACAAUGCUGAGAAUGGAUGAAGAGUGGGUCAGUAGGGUGAAAUACCCACUUCAGGACAAUUCUGUUCUAGAAGCCUCUAGGACCUUUCCUAGGAGAAGAAGUUCAUAUGCUUUGAGAUUAGACAGAUUUAGGUUUGAAUUGUGGUCCUUUAAACUGUUGCCUUGGGCAUUUGACUCAAUUUCUCUAAAUUUCAGUUUUCUCAUCUAUAAAAUGGGAUAAUAAUACUCACCCCAUUGGUUGGGGACCAAUGACAUAGGUAGGUGGUCUAGCAGACACAAAAUAACUGGGGAACUCCAUCUGCAGAAGUGACCAGCUGAAGUGGGCAAAGCCCUUAUUUUCUCCUAAAGUGAAGAGAGAGCAUAAAAACCAGAGAGGAAGGGAAGUUUUUCCGACGGGAAUGAAUUGACUCUUCUCAGACAUCUGUGCCAUUGAUAAUGCUCUCACAAUCCCCAAUCACUCCAAGACAGGAUGGCCUCUUGUCUCAAUGUCUUAAAGAAUUUGGAAACGUCUUGGAUGAUCUGGCCAUGGGAUGUGACCUGGCUUCCUGGGAUGACACCUGAUAUGAACUCCUUUUGAUCAAUAAAGAAAAAAAAUAGCAUCCCACAACUUGCUCCCAGGACAAAACCAAUUUCGAAGACUUUUUCUGAAUGAGUAGUUUUUCUCCUAUUGAUUUGAAUGCUUUGGUCACUCAAUUGUAGGCCAGAGAGGUGAAGGUGCUGGUUCAACAUUCCAGAGCAAAUAAGUGGAAGAACCACGAACCAAACCCAGGUUGGUCUGGUUCCAGAGCUCUUAAGUCUGGGCUGUAGCACUUUGUGUGGAAAUGAUGGACUCAGUGUCUGGGCAGCUGGGUCCCACUCCCCUCUUGUGCUGCAGGAAGGAGAAGUACAUAAGUGAG